ensembl:lncRNA
CAGGCUUGCAUACCGUUCAGCGCUGUACUGUAUAUAUAUGGUUCAAUACAGAAAUCAGAAAUUGUUUUUAUUUUUACAGUUUUGUUUGGUAAACCUGUUAAAUGUGCAUGUGGAUCGCACUUACUGACUUGAUUGAAAUUCAAAAGCGAGUAUACGAGAGCUUUUCGCCAUUUCCGUAUUAGAAGCUAUUACAGAAAGUGCCAUUGUUUUGGUGCGCAUUGCUAAAAAUGGAAACUCGUCAAAGUAUUAAUUGUCCCAGAUUUGGAGUGAUUGUGCAGGUAGAAAGAGCUGCUUUUAGAAAGAAAUUACACACGUUUGGAAGAAAGUAAUGGUUUAUAGCACAGAUAGAGGAUGCUAUAUUGAAGCUAAGACUUUGUCCAUAUCAGUGUAUGAGUGUUAUUAACUUAUUUUCAGUCAAACUUAGAAAGUAUGACAAAACUAGUAAAGAAAGACAUAUUAAAAACGCAUAUUCCUGGCUGGUGCUUGGAUGCGGCUGCAAGGUUAAUCACAAUCAAAUCGAAAUUUCAAUAACGGCUGAAAUUUUUGAAGUACUGUACCAUAAUCUCUUCCAAAAACAACAAAAAGUCCUGUCUUAUUCUGUAUUUAAAAACACAAUCCUGUAGUUUCAAUCUGCACAAACAUGUCCUGAAAUGUGAUUCUUGCAUUAGUUUAUCAGUUCAAAGUUUACUUUUUAAACACGGACACAAGAGCUGACAAAAAUCCUGAAAUAUUGACCAAAUCCUAUCAUUAAAAUCUAAUUACGAUGCUUGUCAAAAAAACAAACUUGCAAUUAGAUAUUUUCCAAAUCGUGCAGCCCUAUGCUUCAAAUUGCAGUUUUUGAUUUUAUCUUUUUAUCUGCUAUUUGCUUCCCCAUUGGCGGCCAUUUUGUCAUGUGUAUCCUAUAGUAUUUAGGCAAAACAUAAAGAAAAUCCCAUAAUUUUAAAGAUACCUUUAAUUUUUGUGGACAAAGUCUUAGUGGGGGAGAUUUGAAGGUCGACUUUUGGUGGCAGAGGUACAAGUGUAGCAGCAGCAUACGCACAGUCCAAACUGAAGUCAUUGUGAAUCAAACGCAUGUCUGUCUCAUUACUGGUACAGUUUUUGCCACCUGUAGCAUGCAUCGCUGCUUUUUCACAUUUUGUAUUCAGUUUCAGUUUCAAAUAGGCCCAGACCAGUGAUUUUCAAACUUAUUUCAAGAAGUGACACCUAAGACCAGAACUAUUCAGUUUUUCAAGUAGGUCAUAAAGUAAAUCAGGUCUUAAUCAUGACUUGACUAAACUAGAACUCAAAACUGGAGUAAUACACGCAGUAAACUACACAGGACUACACCAGAAUAAAGUAUAGAAAGUAACUGCGUCUUCAUUUGGACAGGGACAAUGCACAUAUACCAGUAUUAGCUAUAGAUAUGUUGCUAUUUUUCAAGUGUAAUCCCUGAGCAAAUUGACAAAAUGACCCAUUUAACUCAUAAUUAUUAGGUUUAAAUUUCAAUUUUAUAAGGUUUUAAGUAGGACUAAAGAAAUACGCAUGUUUUCCACUGGUACUUCUUUAGAAAUAUAUGGGGUAACUCGCUUGAAAAAACUCGUGAAAGCUGUGCCAAGUCAAGCAGAGUCAGGCUACUAAGUAAAAGGACAAUAUUAGGACUAAACCAGCUCUGAAUUAACAUUAAAUCAGAUCUGCGCUACUCAGAAAAACACAACAUUUCGAGAAGCACUGGUCUAGAGGUAGCAUUGUCAGACUAUACUAUAUGGCAUUUGUCUCUUGUCAAAUAUCUACCCCUUUUGUUUGGGUCAAGCUCUGUAUUCUCACAGUAACAAUUCCCUGUUGUAAAGUGUUCAGUUGACACCAGGUAUGUCAGCAGCUGGAGAAUAGCUUCCUUUAGUCUAUUUUUUUCUUCGUCUGACUCACCCGAUGACAUGCAGAACUCCUGACCUGUGUCUCCUGAAAACACAGAAAGCACAUUUAAAAGCAAAGCAAAUAUAAGUAGGUCUAUACUGUAUUACUUCACUGCCUGAGCAAACCUAGACAAGUGUUACGGUUUUAUUUUUAUUUCAACCUGCCAAAUGUCAACACUGCUCUCAAAAUACUUGCCGUUUGGACAUGAAGCACUUUUCUGUUUCGUAUCAGUCGUAUAGCUCUUUGUAAUCAACAGCUGCGCAUGUGUUUUGGUGGAGGACUUUAGCAGCAGAUAUCCAAAUUAGAAACAAUAAUGAAAAAUGUGUCUGGAAAACCUAAUAUUGUUAAUUCAUAGCCCGCAGCUAAGUCACGAUUUAGUGCUUUAAAUAGCCCGUAACUGACUUUUAUUUCUUUUAAUUGAGAAUAGUGAUGGACGGAUCAAUACAAAAAUAUUCCUAAAAAAAAG